CCCGCUCAGUCCACAAUUACCAUCUCAGGCCAAAUAUCUUAACACAGGACAAAGCCUUUGUUUCCUUAAACAGAAACUCCAAAGGGCUUGCCCUGUCAGCCCUCCAGUGCCCUGACAUCUCUGAAUGGGCACCUCGUGCCCAGGACCCAUCUCUGAGAGCCCUGUCAGUUCUCCAGUGUGCCUCUUAUCUCUCAAUUCCCAUUCAGAGGUACCAGGCAGUGAACUAAGGUUAAUUCUGAGAACUUCUCAACAUACUCAUCUGGCCCUGUGUGACCUUGAAAAAGUCAUUUAACUACCAGUCUUUUCUGUAAAGUAAGGAAUAUUCUUUCUUUUCUUUAUGAUUUAGAGACAGGGUCUUGCUUUGCUGCCGAGGCUGGAGUAUAGUGGCAUGAUCAUAGCUCACUGCAGCACUGAACUCCUGGGCUCAGGCAGUCCUCCCACCUCAGCUCCUAAGCAGCAGAGAUCACAGGCUUUCACUAAGAGCAUUUUAAAGAGUGACAGAUGGGAGCAGGCAUCUGCGUGAGGCUAAACAGACCCGGGCAAACACACCCAGCAGCUUCAACGAGCCGUGGCUGACUGAAGUUAAACCCUGUCCUCAAUGCCAGCACCUCCUCUGUGACCACCUGCUGAGCUGGUAACUGUGGUAAAUAAAACAGAAGGUGGCUAAUCUGCUUAAUUACCAUUAAACCAGCAGCACCUUUGGGCCUGGGGUGUCAGAAAGCAGUAUGUAGUGUGCCCCUGCCCCCCCGCCCCAACCGAUGGCCUGGCCCUUGUGUGCUCACUGUCCCUUCACGCAUGCUUCACAUACACCAGCAUCUCCUUUCACCUGCACCACAUGAAGAACGUGCAGCCUGGGGACACACGCGUCUGGUCUCAGUCCCAGAAGCAGUGAGCUGCAGAGUAUGCAGUGUCCCCCAAAGCUGCAGCUAUCUAGCUCCACUGCUUCAGUCCUUCUCCCCAGCCGCCUACCCCUGUUCUACGGCCUUCUUGAGACAUGGGUUUAUUUCCUGACUGGAUCUGGACAUUUAUCAGCCCUGUAGCCCCUCCUUCAAGGUGCAGCCCUCAGGACGAAGAUGCACGUGGAAUAUCAGUUCUCCGAUAUUCUUUUAUUUGACAGACUCCUGUGCCCCACCUGAAGUUAAAGGAGGGUGACAUGCAUCAGUCAGAGACAGACCAGUCCUUCUGGUCUUGUGUAGAGUGAGGCUGGGAGAAGCAGGGGACAGUGGAGGGCAAAGGGCUGCUGUAGAAACACCAUGGGUUUUGGAGCCAGCACGAUUGGUUUUGAACCCUAGCUGCUCUACUACAAGCUGUGGGGCCCCAAGUUCAAUCCCGUCAUCUAUAAAACAGGCAUAAAGACACCUAUGCCUGCGGGGAGUGUUAAGAAAGAACACCUAGCCCUCAGGGGCCCUCGGUGAUGGUUCACUUCGCUCUUGUUCUUGAAAGCCCAGGCCCCAAAUCAUAUUCUACAGUCAAAUGCACUCUGCUCUUUCAUACGCGGUUCCCCAUUAUUUAGAGG
rnacentral:lncRNA from 10 species